AAUGGAUUUGCAAUCUGCAUUGUUGAUGGGGAGCAUUCCGGUCUAGGGGUCUUUCAAGGGCCAGCAUCUCCGCAGCAGCGGUAGCAGCGGCGGCGUCAUGUCUCACCUCCGCGGACUGGUGCGCUCGGUGUCCGCCGCCGCGCUGCUGACCCCCGCGCGGCCGGCGGCACCUCUGCGCACAGCCGUCACCCUCCCGACCGGCGGCGUGCGGCCCGAGCCCUACCGGAGUCGACUGGGUGUGGUGGGUGCGCUGUUCACCGUCAUACCUGGCCUGCUGCUCGGAGCGAGCAUCAGUAAAAACUUUGCCAGCUUCCUGGAGGAGAAUGACCUGUUUGUGCCGUCUGAUGACGACGAUGACGGCUGAUGACGGAAGACGGAUGACGCCGCCGCGUAGCUCGUUGUUCAUCUCUACCCCCGUGUUCUGAAGUCGGUGCCGUGCCUCUCGGGAGUGGGCGAUACCUCUCCUCCAAUGGCGACACAGCUCCGGCGUCAGCGGGUGGUGCCUAAUGUUAGUCCCUCGUGAUGUAUUGAGAGUCAG